UACAGAGGUCCCAAGCGUUGUUCGGAUUCAUUGGGCGUAAAGGGUGCGUAGGUGGCGCGCUAAGUCGGGUGUGAAAUUUCGGAGCUUAACUCCGAAACUGCAUUCGAUACUGGUGUGCUUGAGGACUGGAGAGGAGACUGGAAUUCAUGGUGUAGCAGUGAAAUGCGUAGAGAUCAUGAGGAAGACCAGUGGCGAAGGCGGGUCUCUGGACAGUUCCUGACACUGAGACGCGAAAGCGUGGGGAGCAAACAGG
rnacentral:rRNA from 1 species